rnacentral:misc_RNA from 1 species
UUAAGUUCAGCGGGUAAUCCUACCUGAUCUGAGGUCAAAAUUGAAAGUUACAUGUCGUUUAGGUCUUAUCUUUAUUUUCACGUCCCAAAUGAAGUGUACAAUCUACAACAUUCGGUCAAGCCGUAAAAUCAAGUGUAAACCGGAUUACAUUUGAGGUGUGUAAAGCGUAUGCCUUACAAACACCCACCAUCCAUAACAUA